CUGGUAGAAGCUCAGGUUGCAUCAGUAACAGCCUUCAGCUCAUCUGUAUUUUUUAACAUGGUGUUCUCCAUCUUCCCCUUGACAAUACCUCAUAUGGGGAUCUAUGGGGUUCAGGGCAGGUGAGCUGGCUGGCCAAUCAAGCACAGUACUAAAGUAAUGGUCGAAGUCAUUUUCUGACAAUUUUUUUGUGUAAAUCAUCUCAUGAUGCUUGCAAAAUUGUCUGGUAAAAUUGUCUACAUCCUCAGUUGAACAGAUCAUGCGAUUCUACCCCUGUAGUAUAAUGGCCUAAGUCAAGGUUCAGUGUGGUGUGGUUCAGUUUUUUGUGUUUUUUGAAAAAUAACAUGGGCCAUGAUUUUAAGAGGGUGCCAAUAUCAUGGUCAGAAAUCCAUAUAGUUUUAUUUUUGGCACUGUGGUCAGGUGUUAAGUCCUGUGAAGAAAAGAAAACUGGCAUCUCCAUAAAGCUCGUCAGAUGGAAGCAUGAAGUCGUAUAAAAUCUCCUUGUUAGACUAGUUGACUUUGAAUUUGAUGAAACACAGUGGACCAACACCAGGAGAUGACAUGACACAAAAAUCAGCACAUAGUGAGGAAACUUCAUACUGGACAUCAAACACUUUGGAUUCUUUUCCUCUCCACUCUUGUUCCAGACUCUAGGACCUUGAUUUCUCAAUCAAAGGCAAAAUUUACUUUCAUCUGAAAAGAGAUAACUUUGGACCACCGAGAUACAGUUCAGUUGUUCUUCUCCUCAACCAAGUUGGCUUUCCAUAAAUUUGCUUUGAUACAGCACUCUAUUAAAAGCCAGUGGAGGAUGUUGAUUAUCAUCUUACGGACAGCUUUCAGGAAUCAGAAUGAACUGACAGAACCAGACCUUUAGUUCUGUGCAAAGACAAAUCCUGACCUGCCCAAAGGUAAAACUGAAAACCA